rnacentral:lncRNA from 1 species
CCAAACUUGAACGCAUUUUUCUCUGUAAUUCAAUCGGGGAAUAUAUUCUCUCUCAGAAUUGUAAACAAAAUUGGUACAACGUAUCAUGGAUACCCUUGUUUCUCGUGAUGCCAUGUAAUUGGGUAAGCAUUUCUUGGGCUUUACUUGAUUCUUUUUGCAAUUUUUCGUAUCAUUUCUCGAAAAUAGAAAAUGAAUCACUGCAAUUCAAAAUAUGGGGUUUUCCCAGAUGAUAUUAUGGUUCAAAUUUUCGCUAGAUUGCCCGUUAAAUCCCUUUUCAGAACUAAAUGUGUGUGCAAACUGUGGUACAAAUUAAUCUCUGAAAGAUACUUUACGCGGCUGUACAAUGAGGUUUCUGUCAAGAAUCCUAUGGUGCUUGUAGAGGCCAAUGAAUCUUUAUCAGAAUCAAGAUCAAGUUUAAUUCUUGUUGAUAAUAUGAGGGGUGUAUCUGAGUUUUUGUUGGAUUUUAUCAAGGACAGAGUCAGAGUUAGGGCUUCUUGUAAUGGAUUAUUAUGUUGUUCUAGCAUUCCUGAUAAAGGUGUUUAUUAUGUUUGUAAUCCAAUGACUAGACAGUAUAAGUUGCUUCCGAGAAGUAGGGAAAGGCCAAUUACUAGGUUUCAUCCCGAUGGUGAAGCUACUCUUGUUGGUUUGGCUUGCAAUUUGUUGACAGGGAAGUAUAAUGUUGUGUUGGCAGGACAUCAUAGGUCAUUUGGGCAUAGGCCUGAGAGGACUUUUAUAUGUCUGAUCUUUGAUUCGGAAUCUAAUAAAUGGAGGAAAUCUGUUUCGUUGCAAGAUGAUCAUUUUACACACAUGAAUAGAAAUCAAGUUGUGUUCAUUAAUGGUGCGUUGCAUUGGUUGACUGCGAGCUGUUCUUGUGUGCUUGUUCUGAAUUUGGAUUCUGAUAUUUGGAGGAAAAUGUCAUUGCCAGAUGAAGUGAAUUCUGGGAGUGGGAGUCGGAUUUAUUUGUUGGAGUCGGAUGGGCGAUUGUCUGUGAUUCAAAUUUCAGAGGUCUGGAUGAAUAUUUUUAUGAUGGAAGAUUAUGACAAGGAAGAAUGGCAUAUGGUGGACAGGGUGAGUCUACGAUGUAUUAGAGGGAUGGUGCCUGGCAUUUUUCCAAUUAGUAAGACUGGUGAAUAUGUUUUCCUUGCAACCCACAAGCAAGUGUUGGUGUAUCAGAGAAAUAGCAGAGUUUGGAAGGAGAUGUAUUCAGUGAAGAACAAUGCCACCCUGCCAUUGUGGUUCUCUGCACAUUCUUUUCGGAGCACAAUUUUUUCUUGCCAGUAAGGUGUAGAUACUGGAUUGAUUAAUACAUAUCUGAGUCUGAUGUUCAUGCCUAAUUGGAUUCUUUUCCCUUGUCUUUGCUACUGUUAAUGUUUCCAUGAGUUUGCAAAGUUUGCAAUUAGUCAUCAGUUAAAGCUAGCUUUAAAGUAGCACUAGAUAGUGUAAAUGAAUAAUGCUGAUUGUUUCGUGUUUUUAUUGUAAUUGGCUGAUAGUCAUGUUAUUACUACUGGAGAAUUCAUUAGUAAGUUACUUUUUUAAUGCCCAUUGAGUACAUAUUUACCUUUUUAAAUUCUUUUUUAUCUUUGUAAUUUUAGUGUCGAUAGAAACUAAAAGUGGUGAUCUUGAUUUGAUUGGAUUUGUUGGAUUUAUCUUAUUAGUAACUAGUAUGAAGUUUUCUUUUUGAUAAAAUGGUCAUUUGAUUCUCCUCUCAACUUGUUUGUCUGUUGGUAGCAUUCAUUGUCUAGUUUCUCAGAAUUUGUAAUUAGACUGGUUGGAAUUGAUCAACGCAUAUUAACUUCCGAGUCCUAAAGUUACGUUUGUACAAUGGAACAGUGGUGAAAAUGAAAUGAAAUAAAAGAAUUUCAACUAAAACGUGAUUAAUUCUUAAUUGUAUAUUAAACAUAAAGUGAAUCUUCUUUCUUUUCUUUUCUUUUCUUUUUUUCUUUCUUUUUUCCUUUUAAACAUAAAGUGAUUCUUCAACUAUGUAGCACAGACACUCUAACUCGGGUAGCAUGUCUGUGUCUGACAUGUGUCGAUACUCUUCGAACAUUUUACAAUAAUCAUUUUCCUUUCUUGCUAUGGCUAUUUUAUAUUUUUAUCUCUAAGUUAUUAGUAAAUAACAAAUAAGUACUCAUAUUUAAAAGAUUUCAACCAAAAAAAAAAAUCAAUAAUAAGUGUAAAAUUAAAUUUUAACUAUAUAAAUGACGAAUUUUAAAGAAUUUAAUGAACAUGUUGAUGACGUGUCGUGUCGUGUCGUGUCGGUAUUUUUUUGAAAAAUUACGAGUCGACGUAUCUAACACGUAUUGUGUUGGACACACGUGUCCGUCUUGACAUAUCAUAGUUCUUCAGUACUGGAAGUAAUAUUCUUCUAUUCGCAAAUACAUGCACGAUGUCAAUGUCUUAUUAUUAAACUGGCCAUAUAGUCAGUCCAAUGAUUGAACUUUUUAAAUCGAAAUUGUCUUCUUCAGCAUUUCAAACUUGGCCACAAACGACCCUAUCAAAGGUUUAUAUGGAUAAGUAUUAUGAAUUAAAAUAAACGUCGCAUUUUUCAAGUUACGAUGCGUUACUUGAUUUUCUUGGAGUAAAAUGAUUCAACAGUAAUUGAACUUUGCAUUAUGUAUGUUUCACUUACUAUACUUUAAUUUGCAUCCCAUCAUUCACUGAACUUUACAAAAUUGCACUCCAUCACUAACCCACUAACUUUUGUCUUCACAGUCCGCCUACGUGGAAGACGACAGUCAUAUGUGGCCAUUAAAUAAUCCAAACUGGAGAAGGAAUUGUUAGGUCAAAUGAACCAAGCACCCCUUACCUUAUUUCAUCACGGAAAUUGCGAUUUGGGAACCCUAAUUUAUCAUAAACGCUCGAUUUAUCUUGGCAUCGAAGUGAAAUUCCUCAAACAUCUCCGUCAAAAGCGUGAACCCUACUCCCCAAAAUCAUAAUUAUUCCAAAAUUGAAUACGAGUCAAGGGCAAUUGUUGAUUGGCUCGGAGAGAACACCCAAAGGUAAUUGAGAAAAAUUUUCCCUUUUCAUAAUUUAAUAUCAUUGAAUUUGUAGUGCGAACUAGUUUUGUGAUCGAGUUGAGUUGUUAAUGGAAUCAAAUAACAUAAUGAAAUGCGAACAACGUUAUUAUCCAUGGCUCUGGUUUUCCAUUUCAUUUGUUUUUAUCUCUUAAGCUUUGUUCUUUGAUUUUUGGAGUUCACUAGUGCAGUUCUUCGAUGUGGGUAUGCCCAAAAAAGCUUAUUUCUUUGUCCAUGGCUCCUGUUUUCCAUUUCGUUAGUCCUUUGUGUUUUUACAUCAUAGGGCAACUCUGUAGAUAGCUCCGGUUUAGUUUUUACCACGUCAUAAGUAAUUAAUUGAUGCAUUGCAUUUUAUUUUUCGUAGGAAAAAACAAGGGGAUUUGCCACUGUUACAGAGAACCAAGCCACCAAUUAUGGGUAUGCCUAAAAAAACAGCAAUGUCCAAAUUGUGCCGGAGCAAUCAUAAAAUGGAUGUCAAAGAAGAACGAAAGGGCUUUUCAAUUGAAGAUUUGUCCAGUUUGUUAAAGAUUGCCGCUGAAAUUAUCGAACAACAAGAUGUCACCAUUAAACUAAGCUUCCACAAGGGUAAAGGAGACACGGAAGUCAGAAGGAAACGAAGGCCAAGAGAGUCGUGAACAUAUUCCAUAUAUGAAGGCGACGAGACGAGAAGAACUAACUUUUAAUUUCAUAUUUUUUUAAUAACUAGACUAUUCAUGCUUCCAAUUUCAUGUUUAUUGUUUUCGUUUAAGUGGAAACUAUGCUGUACUUGAUAUUUGAUUUCGUGAAGUUGUGAUUUCUAAAGAACAAUCUCCGUUUGCCUAUGUUUGAUUUGAACUAGUUGUGUAUCAAAACUUUUCUAAUGACCUUCUUCUAAUGAUUUAAACAAUCUCCAUUUGCCUCCAUUGUGAUGUUCAUGUUGCCUUCAAUCCCAGCAGC